GGGGAUUUGGUCUAGUGGUAUGACAUUUGUUUUGCAUUGUCUAGUCGACUAUAGUGACUACAAAAGGUCGGGGGUUCAAUUCCCUCAAUCUCCA